CAGUCGCCGCGGUAAUACAGAGGGUGCGAGCGUUGAUCGGAUUUACUGGGCGUAAAGCGUGCGUAGGCGGCUUCUUAAGUCGGAUGUGAAAUCCCUGAGCUUAACUUAGGAAUUGCAUUCGAUACUGGGAAGCUAGAGUAUGGGAGAGGAUGGUAGAAUUCCAGGUGUAGCGGUGAAAUGCGUAGAGAUCUGGAGGAAUACCGAUGGCGAAGGCAGCCAUCUGGCCUAAUACUGACGCUGAGGUAAGAAAGCAUGGGGAGCAAACAGGAUUAGAUACCCCCGUAGUCCCUGUCUCUUAUAC
rnacentral:rRNA from 1 species